rnacentral:rRNA from 1 species
ACACGUAGGGGGCGAGCGUUGUUCGGAAUCAUUGGGCGUAAAGGGCGUGCAGGCGGUCGUGCAAGUCCGGCGUGAAAGCCCCCGGCCCAACCGGGGGGACGCGCUGGAAACUGCAGGGCUUGAGUACAGGAGGGGAUGCCGGAAUUCCAGGUGUAGGGGUGAAAUAUGUAGAUAUGUGGAAGAACACCAAUGGCGAAGGCAGGCAGGUGGGCAUUUAAGGACGCGGCGCCACGAAGGUGCGGGGGGCAAGCAGUUUAAGAUCCCCUGGUAGUCCGCGCAGUAAACGAUGGGCAGCAGGUGGCGGGGGGUCGACCAUCGGUACCGUAGCUAACGCAUUAAGUGCACCGCCUGGGGAGUAUGCUCGCAAGGGUGAAACUCAAAGGAAUUGACGGGG